GUCUCCGUAGCUCAGCAGGAUAGAGCAUUCGCCUCCUAAGCGAAAGGCCGCGCGUUCGAAUCGCGCCGGGGACGCCA
rnacentral:tRNA from 2 species